GGGUAUAGCUCAGCUGGUUAGAGCGUUCCUCUGAUAAGGAGAGGUCGUUGGUUCGAGUCCAACUAAGGCUACCUA
rnacentral:tRNA from 1 species